rnacentral:lncRNA from 1 species
UAGAAGCCCACCCAGUGGCCUGGAAGCCUGGGGACUUGGCCUGCUUGCUGGGGAGAAUCUUGCUCCACUAAGGGGUUAAAGGCACUCCAUCUAACUUGGAUCAACGAUCCCAGGGCUGUUGAAGGAGAUGACAGGCCCAUGUGUGUGCCCACACUGGCUCCAAGCAGAGAGGAACCAGUUCUACCUCAAGACUCCCAGGCACCCCCGAUCUGGAAGACAGAGCUCUAUCUUGCUGCAAAGCUACAUCUGCCCACCAGAUGAGCAGUACCUGUAAAAACUUCCCACAUCAAGCCUUGUGGGGCUAAUGCCUCUUCCAGAGCCGCUGACAACAGGAAAAUGAUCCUAGCACUGCACUUCCCAAAGGACUCAGAGAUUCUUGCCCUGGAGCCAGGAAUGGGGAGUUUGAUGUUGUGUUGUCCACAGACAUUCCAGAAGGAAAGGGUUGCAGUAGGAGAAGGCCUGGACGAACAAGAGGAGGGACCAGGGAACAAAAGCAGAUUCUCAAAGAGGUCAAUAUAUAUUGGCUAAUUGCUUAAUAUUGGUAAUAGUAUUAAUAACAAAAAUCCCUACCAUUUACUGAAGGCCUUUAGCAUGCCAGGCCUCUUGCAGACAUCGCUCCAAUUCAUUCUCACAGCCUUGCAGAAUAUGUAUUACUUUCCCCAUUCUACAGAAGAAGAAACUGCUACUCCCAGAGGGUAUGCUUUCAAAGAUCACAGGGCUGCCACCAAGCCUGCUGCUUCAUGUCUGAGUGAAACAGAGCAAUCUCCCAGAUAACAGGAGACGGGUAGGUGGAAACAUUUCUAAAAUGGGGCUGAAGGAGAGCAAGUAAGCGCCAAACCUCGGUCCCAGCCCCUCUUGGAAUUGAGUUAAAGAGAAAAGAAGAGCUAAGAGCUCAGCGUUCCUGAAAGCAGCAUGGGUGUCUUUUUUAAUAAACACGCCAAAGCUUGACUCUCUG